rnacentral:rRNA from 1 species
GAAGCUGGAGUUGCUAGUAAUCGCGAAUCAGCAUGUCGCGGUGAGUACGUUCCCGGGCCUUGUACACACCGCCCGUCACACCAUGAGAGUUGGCAAUACCCAACGUACGUGAUCUAACCCGCAAGGGAGGAAGCGUCCUAAGGUAGGGUCAGCGAUUGGGGUGAAGUCGUAACAAGGUACC